AGCGUAGGCGGAUAGUUUAGUGAGAGGUGAAAGCCCAGGGCUCAACCUUGGAACUGCCUUUCAUACUGGCUAUCUUGAGUACGGGAGAGGUGAGUGGAACUCCGAGUGUAGAGGUGAAAUUCGUAGAUAUUCGGAAGAACACCAGUGGCGAAGGCGACUCACUGGCCCGUUACUGACGCUGAGGCUCGAAAGCGUGGGGAGCAAACAGGAUUAGAUACCCUGGUAGUCCACGCCGUAAACGAUGAGUGCUAGUUGUCGGCAUGCAUGCAUGUCGGUGACGCAGCUAACGCAUUAAGCACUCCGCCUGGGGAGUACGGUCGCAAGAUUAAA
rnacentral:rRNA from 1 species